rnacentral:rRNA from 1 species
GACGAACGCUGGCGGCGUGCUUAACACAUGCAAGUCGAACGGAAAGGCCCUGCUUUUGUGGGGUGCUCGAGUGGCGAACGGGUGAGUAACACGUGAGUAACCUGCCCUUGACUUUGGGAUAACUUCAGGAAACUGGGGCUAAUACCGGAUAGGAGCUCCUGCUGCAUGGUGGGGGUUGGAAAGUUUCGGCGGUUGGGGGUGGACUCGCGGCUUUUCAGCUUGUUGGUGGGGUAGUGGCUUACCAAGGCUUUGACGGGUAGCCGGCCUGAGAGGGUGAGCGGCAAGGUUGAGACUGAGAUACGGCGCAGAAUCGUGGGAGAGGCAGCAGUGGGGAAUAGUGCACAGUGGGCGGAAGCCUGAUGCAGUAAAGCCGCGUGGGGUGUGAAGGCCUUCGGGUUGUAAAGCGGGUUCGCCUGUGACGAAGCGGGAGUGACGGUAAUGGGUAAAGAAGCGCCGGCUAACUACGUG